UACGAAGGGGGCUAGCGUUGUUCGGAAUUACUGGGCGUAAAGCGCACGUAGGCGGAUACUUAAGUCAGGGGUGAAAUCCCGGGGCUCAACCCCGGAACUGCCUUUGAUACUGGGUAUCUCGAGUCCGGAAGAGGUGAGUGGAAUUCCGAGUGUAGAGGUGAAAUUCGUAGAUAUUCGGAGGAGCACCAGUGGCGAAGGCGGCUCACUGGUCCGGUACUGACGCUGAGGUGCGAAAGCGUGGGGAGCAAACAGG
rnacentral:rRNA from 1 species